rnacentral:rRNA from 1 species
GUAGCUAGUCUAACCUUCGGGAGGACGGUUACCACGGUGUGAUUCAUGACUGGGGUGAAGUCGUAACAAGGUAGCCGUAGGGGAACCUGCGGCUGGAUCACCUCCUUA